GACGUAGGGUGCGAGCGUUAUCCGGAAUUAUUGGGCGUAAAGAGCUCGUAGGCGGUUUGUCGCGUCUGCUGUGAAAUCUGGAGGCUCAACCUCCAGCCUGCAGUGGGUACGGGCAGACUAGAGUGCGGUAGGGGAGACUGGAAUUCCUGGUGUAGCGGUGAAAUGCGCAGAUAUCAGGAGGAACACCGGUGGCGAAGGCGGGUCUCUGGGCCGUAACUGGACGCU
rnacentral:rRNA from 1 species